AGCAGCCGCGGUAAUUCCAGCUCCAAUAGCGUAUAUUAAAGUUGUUGCAGUUAAAAAGCUCGUAGUUGAAUUUCGGGAUCAAUACGUCGGUCGUGCCUCGGUACGUACUAACGUUAUUGAUUUCUCCCUUCUAACAAAUCGUGAUGUCAUUAAUUUGGUGUUACGAGGAGUUAGGACUGUUACCUUGAAAAAAUUAGAGUGUUUAAAGCAGGCAAUCGCUCGAAUACAUUAGCAUGGAAUAAUGAAAUAGGACGUUCGAACCUAUUUUGUUGGUUUCUAGGAUCGACGUAAUGAUUAAUAGGGAUAGUUGGGGGCAUUAGUAUUCAAUUGUCAGAGGUGAAAUUCUUGGAUUUAUUGAAGACUAACUACUGCGAAAGCAUUUGCCAAGGAUGUUUUCAUUAAUCAAGAACGAAAGUUAGGGGAUCGAAGACGAUCAGAUACCGUCGUAGUCUUAACCAUAAACUAUGCCGACUAGGGAUCGGAUGAUGUUAACUUAAUGACUCAUUCGGGGCCUUACG
rnacentral:rRNA from 1 species